UAGGGAAUAUUGGGCAAUGGAGGCAACUCUGACCCAGCCAUGCCGCGUGCAGGAUGAAGGCGCUCAGCGUUGUAAACUGCUUUUAUUGGUGAAGAAAGUUUGUCCUGCGGGAUGAUUUGACGGUAGCCAAGGAAUAAGCACCGGCUAACUCCGUGCCAGCAGCCGCGGUAAUACGGAGGGUGCAAGCGUUGUCCGGAUUUAUUGGGUUUAAAGGGUGCGUAGGUGGUACAGUAAGUCUGGUUUGAAAGCAAGCGGCUUAACCGUUUGAUGUGGCUGGAAACUGUUGUACUUGAAUGGGUUGGCGGUAGCCGGAAUGGGUCAUGUAGCGGUGAAAUGCAUAGAUAUGACCCGGAACACCGAUUGCGAAGGCAGGCUACUACGACUUGAUUGACACUGAGGCACGAGAGCAUGGGUAGCGAACAG
rnacentral:rRNA from 1 species